rnacentral:sRNA from 1 species
UCUCUCAUCGCCGCAGUCCGACCGUC